rnacentral:rRNA from 1 species
CGGGUGUGAAAGCCCUGGGCUCAACCCGGGAAGUGCAUUCGAUACUGCCAGACUGGAGUCUUGAAGAGGAGAGCGGAAUUCCCGGUGUAGAGGUGAAAUUCGUAGAUAUCGGGAGGAACACCAGUGGCGAAGGCGGCUCUCUGGGCAAUGACUGACACUGAGACGCGAAAGCGUGGGAAGCAAACAGGAUUAGAUACCCUGGUAGUCCACGCUGUAAACGAUGACGACUGGGUGUUGCGGGUAUUGACCCCCGCGGUGCCGAAGCUAACGCGUUAAGUCGUCCGCCUGGGAAGUACGGCCGCAAGGCUAAAACUCAAAGGAAUUGACGGGGGCCCGCACAAGCGGUGGAGCAUGUGGUUUAAUUCGACGCAACGCGAAGGACCUUACCCGGGCUCGAAAAUGUAGGAAGCUGGCUGAAAGGCUGGUGUGCCCGCAAGGGAGCCUAUAUCAGGUGCUGCAAGGCUGUCGUCAGCUCGUGUCGUGAGAUGUUGGGUUAAGUCCCGCAACGAGCGCAACCCUUGUCAUUAGUUGCUACAUUUAGUUGGGCACUCUAAUGAGACUGCCGGUGACAAACCGGAGGAAGGUGGGGAUGACGUCAAGUCCUCAUGGCCCUUAUGGGUAGGGCUUCACACGUAAUACAAUGGCGCGUACAGAGGGCUGCUAAGCCGCGAGGUAGAGCCAAUCCCUUAAAGCGCGUCGUAGUCCGGAUUGCAGUCUGCAACUCGACUGCAUGAAGUCGGAAUCGCUAGUAAUCGCGGAUCAG